AAAUUGAAGAGUUUGAUCAUGGCUCAGAUUGAACGCUGGCGGCAGGCCUAACACAUGCAAGUCGAACGGUAACAGGAAGCAGCUUGCUGCUUUGCUGACGAGUGGCGGACGGGUGAGUAAUGUCUGGGAAACUGCCUGAUGGAGGGGGAUAACUACUGGAAACGGUGGCUAAUACCGCAUAACGUCGCAAGACCAAAGAGGGGGACCUUCGGGCCUCUUGCCAUCAGAUGUGCCCAGAUGGGAUUAGCUAGUUGGUGAGGUAACGGCUCACCAAGGCGACGAUCCCUAGCUGGUCUGAGAGGAUGGCCAGCCACACUGGAACUGAGACACGGUCCAGACUCCUACGGGAGGCAGCAGUGGGGAAUAUUGCACAAUGGGCGCAAGCCUGAUGCAGCCAUGCCGCGUGUAUGAAGAAGGCCUUCGGGUUGUAAAGUACUUUCAGCGGGGAGGAAGGUGUUGUGGUUAAUAACCGCAGCAAUUGACGUUACCCGCAGAAGAAGCACCGGCUAACUCCGUGCCAGCAGCCGCGGUAAUACGGAGGGUGCAAGCGUUAAUCGGAAUUACUGGGCGUAAAGCGCACGCAGGCGGUCUGUCAAGUCGGAUGUGAAAUCC
rnacentral:rRNA from 1 species